rnacentral:rRNA from 1 species
GAUGAACGCUGGCGGCGUGCCUAAUACAUGCAAGUCGAGCGACCAGAUAAGGAGCUUGCUCCUUUGCCGUUAGCGGCUGACGGGUGAGUAACACGUGCGUAACCUACCUCUUUUUCUUGGAUAACUUUGUGAAACAGGAUCUAAUACCGGCUCAUAUUUCGAACCGCAUGGUUCUAAAGUUAUUGAUGCUUUUGCUAUCUCUUAUAGCUGAACUCGCGCUGUAUUAGCUAGUUGGUAAGGUAACGGCUUACCAAGGCGACGAUACGUAGCCGAUCUGAGAGGAUGAUCGGCCACACUGGAACUGAGACACGGUCCAGACUCCUACGGGAGGCAGCAGUAGGGAAUAUUGCGCAAUGGGCGAAAGCCUGACGGAGCAACACCGCGUGAGUGAAGAAGGGCUUCGGGUCGUAAAGCUCUGUUAAUAGGAAAGAACAGAUGUGGAAGUAAAUGUGGACGUCUUGACGGUACCUAAAGAGAAAGCCACGGCUAACUACGUG